UGUGAAACCUUGGGAAAAGAAUCAAACAUAUGAUGGCAGCAGUGGGAUUCCAACAUACACAGAGCUUCCAGGUGGACUGAAUAAACAAUCGUUUGAGUGUUGGUUGCAUGAGACGGAUGGGCCCACAAGCAAUUUUUUUUGAGCCGACGUAAAAUGCCGUCCUCUCGCGAGAUGGUUGCCCGGGCGAUGAUUGACAGGCGAGUGCUGGUCGCUGCAGCUUGACCAGUGCAGGAGGGGGACAGGCAGGUUGUGAAGAGUGCAAGUUGCUGCUGUAAAGUCUGUGCCAGGAGUUGUCCUCAAGACUGUUCCUGAUGAUGAGUGAUGGCUGCUGAGUAAAUACUGAGCAGUACGGGCAUGGCUGGAGAAAGCGUGGGCAGCAUCACAUCUGACCUGUUGAAAAAAAUCUCCAACACAAUGACCUAAAAAAGCAGCAUCUAAAUGUCAGAAUAAGUUGCAGGGAGGUACUGGGACAUCCAAGCAGUUCACCAUGAAUGAUACAACUGGACGGAGAAAAUGAAAGGUCAGACAUGAUGGGCUAAAUAGCCUCC